rnacentral:rRNA from 1 species
AUACGUAGGGGGCGAGCGUUGUCCGGAAUUAUUGGGCGUAAAGGGCGUGUAGACGGUCAUAUAAGUUACAGGUGAAAGCCCAUUUUUCAAGGAUGGAACUGCCUGUAAGACUGUAAGACUUGAGUGCAGGAGAGGGAAGCGGAAUUCCAAGUGUAGCGGUGAAAUGCGUAGAUAUUUGGAGGAACACCAGUGGCGAAGGCGGCUUUCUGGACUGCAACUGACGUUGAGGCGCGAAAGCGUGGGGAGCGAACAGGAUUAGAUACCCUGGUAGUCCACGCUGUAAACGAUGGAUGCUAGGUGUGGGGGGUAUCGACCCCCUCCGUGCCGGAGUUAACGCAAUAAGCAUCCCGCCUGGGGAGUACGGCCGCAAGGUUGAAACUCAAAUGAAUUGACGGGG